GGUGGGGUGGCCGAGUGGUCUAAGGCGAAGGUUUGCUAAACCUUUGAGGGUUAAUCCCCUCGCGCAGGUUCAAAUCCUGUCCCCACCG
rnacentral:tRNA from 1 species